rnacentral:rRNA from 1 species
GCCUACGGGGGGCAGCAGUGGGGGAUAUUGCACAAUGGGGGGAACCCUGAUGCAGCGACGCCGCGUGGGUGAAGAAGCGCCUCGGCGCGUAAAGCCCUGUCAGCAGGGAAGAAAAUGACGGUACCUGAAGAAGAAGCCCCGGCUAACUACGUGCCAGCAGCCGCGGUGAGACGUAGGGGGCAAGCGUUAUCCGGAUUUACUGGGUGUAAAGGGGGCGCAGACGGCGAUGCAAGCCAGGAGUGAAAGCCCGGGGCCCAACCCCGGGACUGCUCUUGGAAAUGAGUGGCUGGAGUGCAGGAGGGGCG